rnacentral:rRNA from 1 species
AUUGAACGCUGGCGGCAGGCCUAACACAUGCAAGUCGAGCGGAUGAAGGGAGCUUGCUCCUGGAUUCAGCGGCGGACGGGUGAGUAAUGCCUAGGAAUCUGCCUGGUAGUGGGGGAUAACGUCCGGAAACGGGCGCUAAUACCGCCUACGUCCUGAGGGAGAAAGUGGGGGAUCUUCGGACCUCACGCUAUCAGAUGAGCCUAGGUCGGUGUAGCUAGUUGGUGGGGUAAAGGCCUACCAAGGCGACGAUCCGUAACUGGUCUGAGAGGAUGAUCAGUCACACUGGAACUGAGACACGGUCCAGACUCCUACGGGAGGCAGCAGUGGGGAAUAUUGGACAAUGGGCGAAAGCCUGAUCCAGCCAUGCCGCGUGUGUGAAGAAGGUCUUCGGAUUGUAAAGCACUUUAAGUUGGGAGGAAGGGCAGUAAGUUAAUACCUUGCUGUUUUGACGUUACCAACAGAAUAAGCACCGGCUAACUUCGUG